rnacentral:tRNA from 2 species
CCGUCGAUAGCUCAGUUGGCAGAGCGGUGGACUGUAGAUCCAUAGGUCGCUGGUUCGACUCCGGCUCGAAGGA